rnacentral:rRNA from 1 species
CCUACGGGAGGCAGCAGUGGGGAAUAUUGGACAAUGGGCGAAAGCCUGAUCCAGCAAUGCCGCGUGAGUGAUGAAGGCCUUAGGGUCGUAAAGCUCUUUUACCCGGGAUGAUAAUGACAGUACCGGGAGAAUAAGCUCCGGCUAACUCCGUGCCAGCAGCCGCGGUAAUACGGAGGGAGCUAGCGUUGUUCGGAAUUACUGGGCGUAAAGCGUACGUAGGCGGUUAUUCAAGUCAGAGGUGAAAGCCCGGGGCUCAACCCCGGAACUGCCUUUGAAACUAGAUAGCUAGAAUCUUGGAGAGGUCAGUGGAAUUCCGAGUGUAGAGGUGAAAUUCGUAGAUAUUCGGAAGAACACCAGUGGCGAAGGCGACUGACUGGACAAGCAUUGACGCUGAGGUACGAAAGCGUGGGGAGCAAACAGGAUUAGAUACCCUGGUAGUCCACGCCGUAAACGAUGAUAACUAGCUGUCCGGGUACUUGGUAUCUGGGUGGCGCAGCUACGCAUUAAGUUAUCCGUCCGUCGGGUAGGUACGGUCGGUCGAGAGUUAAACUACAAAUAGAAGUUAGACGGUCGUGAGACGUUGUCCGAACGGACGACGACGAGGGGAGGUAGGG